AGGCAGCAGUAGGGAAUAUUGGACAAUGGGGGGAACCCUGAUCCAGCCAUGCCGCGUGUGUGAAGAAGGCCUUAUGGUUGUAAAGCACUUUAAGCGAGGAGGAGGCUCUUUUGGUUAAUACCCAAGAUGAGUGGACGUUACUCGCAGAAUAAGCACCGGCUAACUCUGUGCCAGCAGCCGCGGUAA
rnacentral:rRNA from 1 species